rnacentral:rRNA from 1 species
AGCGAACGCUGGCGGCGUGCUUAACACAUGCAAGUCGAGCGAGAAAGGGGGCUUCGGCCCCUGAGUACAGCGGCGAACGGGUGCGUAAUACAUGAGCAAUCUAUCCUUGAGGCGGGAAUAACCCAGCGAAAGUUGGGCUAAUACCGGAUGAGACCACAGGAGGAAACUCCAGGGGUCAAAGGCAGCUCUCUUUUGGGAGCGGCCCUUCGAAGAGGAGCUCAUGUCCUAUCAGCUAGUUGGUAGGGUAACGGCCUACCAAGGCGAAGACGGGUAGCUGGUCUUAGAGGAUGAUCAGCCACACGGGGACUGAGACACGGCCCCGACUCCUACGGGUGGCUG